UGAGGAAAUUGGACAAUGGGCGGAAGCCUGAUCCAGCCUGCCGCGUGCAGGAAGACUGCCCUAUGGGUUGUAAACUGCUUUUGUACGGGAAGAAACCUUUCCACGUGUGGAGAGCUGACGGUACUGUAAGAAUAAGCAUCGGCUAACUCCGUGCCAGCAGCCGCGGUAAUA
rnacentral:rRNA from 1 species